UUCCUCAAAUUUAGCUAUGAAAUAAUAGACCAGAAUCUUUUCAAUUUCACUAAAGUUCAAAGAUCUCUGCUCUUCACUCUGAAAUUUUGUGGAAUGACAUGAUUAGAUCAUAUUUAUAGUCAUAGUCUUUUAUAUCACUUGGAGCUUAUCGGGGUCUGAGAAAUUCACAGUUGACAGAUUUAUUUUAAGUUCAAAUAUUUGAAACCUUGAUUUGAGUCAGACUAGUUGGGAUCCUGUCAAAGAUAAGAUCCCAUCCAGUUAAAAUCAAGACAUAUGCAGAUGUGAGGAGAGAAGAAAGGAGGAGAGGUGAAGACAGUGAUGGGAAGGAGCGAUGCUGACAUACGAUAAAACUCCUGCAGGUUGAAGUGUAAUGGGAGGCCAAUGAAGCCUUGAUAGCUUCAAUUUUAUGGUUAAGAGGAAUGUGAAAAUUUAUCCCAGUGGCCGACAGAUCGGAGCAAACAGCUGUCUCCCCAUCUCUGAUUCCAAUCGUCCAUGGAAAAAAAAUGGGGGGAAUACUGACUUGCUGAGACCACCGUUGCGCUGAAAGGUAGAUAACGUUUGGGGAAAAAUAAUAGCUUUCACGGCAGUGAAUUUCACACAUUAGCUCCGCAAUGGAGGAUUAUCAUCAGGAGCACGAGUCAAAGAAUUUGCACCUCUUGUCACAGAAGAACCUGCUUUUGUCCCUUUUUCUUUUGUGUUUGUCUUUCCCUCCUAAUCUGUCAGACAAUAAGAUAAAGUACAAAACUUUUAUGUUCCAUCAGGGCACCCUGCAACGCGUCUCUGAUGAGCAGACGGCGACCCAUCCUGAUUAAAGUACAGACUCUGGAGACAUGGGCCUGGCUGGAGCACCUCACUAUCUCCCUUGCCAUCUUCUAAUAAAGUCAGUCAUGCAGGGGGCAUCAGUCUGAGCGUGCUUGGCAAAGGGUCAAGGCUUGGCUUUAUAGCAUGGCCCUGUCUGCUGGGUAACUACAGUACAUGGUUUGCAGAACCAUGCAAAUGCCAUGUGACUACUCAUUCUGGAGUCAUAGGAAAAUCAUGUCUUCACAGUGCUGACUGGCUGAAGAUCGGUGAUGGUAUAGUUAUGACAUCAGCUAGUGGGGAGUAAUGGGAUCACGUUAACCAGCCAAGACUUGACUCCUUGAUUUAACCUUCUUCAUAACCUCAGUUUCCCUUUGGUCUAACUUUUAACUCACCUGCCUAUACCCACAAAUCCAUUUCACUCAAGUAGGCUACACCCUGCAGACACAAAGCUUUCAUUUCCACCCUCUGUUUUGAAGCAGCCUUCUCAUCCUCUCACAAAUUGAGUUAUUGAGUUCACACUUCCUCCUCCUGCGCUCCAGCCUUCAGUCCGCCAUCCUGCUGGGAGUCACCGUGGCUGCUCAAAUCCAGUUCUCGUCUCUGCUCCCGUGGACAGCAAGAGAUUAUGAGCGGCAGUGUAUCAGCUGAGCGCCGCUGCUUUCGCCUGCGCCCGUGCCACAGCACAGAAUGAAUAAUUUAAAGUGCCAGCUCGGGCAUGCGACGCCGCCUUUUCUGGACUAUUAGCUACACAAGCAGCAUUAGCCUCAUCGCUGAAAUGUGCCGCUGUAUCUCUCUCUCUUUCCUCUCACUCGACACAUGUUACAUCCCAUACAGACAAGGCCAAUCACAAACUUUCAAGGAGGAAAAGUUUGAGUCAGACUGGAUAGCAGACGAAGUUGUUUUGUGAUGAAUUACAUUUGUUAUUGAUCAGAGUACAAUGAUAGCACAAGCCAGAUUGGACCACUAGGUGCAAAACAGUGUUAUUUUAGUAUCAUUGAUAUAUAGUUUUUCAUAUUUUGAAGGUUUUUAUUUUUAUAUUAAAAAGUUUACCCAAAAAUGAAAAUUGUUAUCAUUCACUCACCCUCAUUUGGUGUCAAACCUGUAUAACUUUGUUUUGUGAAACAGAAAUUUUGAAAAACGAUUUUUCUCCAUCCAAAUCAACAUCGGACUCAUUGUUUGGACAUUUUUCAAAAUAUUUUCUUUUGUGUUUCUUAAGUCAUAUGGAUUUGCAAUGGCAUGAGGGUAAGGAAAUGAAAACAGAAUUUUUAUUUUUGGGUGAACUAUGCCUUUCAAUAAAUAGAUUGUGAGGGCUUAUGAACAAUAUGCAUUUUUUUUUUUUUUGCAUUGAAAUACUACACACAAAAAUAGUGCAACUAUGUAGUGAGUUCAUCCCAGAGAGAGAAGUGAGUAGGAACGAGUGUGAAAACCGGUGAUGGAGUGGGUGUGAAGAUGACGUGAUGGCGAAGUAGAGAUGCUAGCUUUAAUGAAAGACUGUGUUCAGGCUGAGGAGUGUAAGUCUGUCCGUGCACUGACAUUCGACAUCCCCCUCUGUGACACCACCCUGUCAGAAAGAACAGACUGAAGAAGGAGAGAGCAGGAGCACAUGCCAUGUACACCCAGAAAUGGGGAAAGAGAGACAAAGGCAGAUCUGGAGAACAGGCAGUCUUACAUUUUAAGAAAUAGUUCACUCUAAAAUGAAUUUCUGUCAUCAUGUACUCACCCUCAUGUCUUUCCAAACCUGUAUGACUUUCUUUCUUCCGUAGAACACAAAAGGAGACGUUUGGCAGAGUGUUUGAGCUGCUUUCUUCCACGUGCACUACAGUUUAAAAGUUUGGGGUCAUUGAGAUGUAUUUUUUUUUUUUAAAUUGAUAAUUUUAUUCAGCAUGGAUGUGUUAAAUUGACAGAGUGACAGCAAAGAAUUUUAGAUAACAGUUUAUUUUAAAGAGAUCCCAUAAUUAAAAUAUCCCAUAAU